GUGCGGGUUUCAGCAGCACAUAGACUAAAAUUGGAACAAUCCUGAGCAGACUGGUCUGGCCCUGCAUGAGGAUGACAUGCAAAUUCGUGUAUUCCAUAAUUUU